GACGAACGCUGGCGGCGUGCCUAAUACAUGCAAGUCGAACGCAGUGGGGACGGGUGAGUAACACGUGGGUAACCUCCCAUCAGAGGGGAUAACACUUGGAAACAGGUGCUAAACCGAUACUGAUGGAUGGACCCGCGGUGUAUUAGCUCGUUGGUGAGGUAACGGCGCACCAAGGCCACGAUGGAUAGCUGACAUGAAAGGGGGAUCGGCCCAAUUGGGACUGAGACACGGCCUAGACUCCUACGGUAGGACGCAGUAGGGAAUCUGCGGCAAUGGACGAAAGUCUGACCGAGCAACGCCGCGUGAGUGAAGAAGGUUUUCGGAUCGUAAAACUCUGUUGUUAGAGAAGCGGUAUCUAACCAGAAAGCCACGGCUAACUACGUGCCAGCAGCCGCGGUAAUUC
rnacentral:rRNA from 1 species